UGAUGUAUUGGGGCCUAUAAAAUCCAAC
rnacentral:sRNA from 1 species